GACGAACCGUGCGAACGUUAUUCGGAAUCACUGGGCUUAAAGCGCGUGUAGGCGGCCCGGCACGUCCGUCGCUGAAAUCCCCCGGCUCAACCGGGGAAGUGGCGUGGAUACGACCGGGCUGGAGGGGGGUAGGGGGAGCCGGAACUUCCGGUGGAGCGGUGAAAUGCGUUGAGAUCGGAAGGAACGCCCGUGGCGAAAGCGGGCUCCUGGACCCCACCUGACGCUGAGGCGCGAAAGCGUGGGGAGCAAACAGG
rnacentral:rRNA from 1 species